CUAAAACAACAGCACAAGAAAUUAGAAAGAUAAUCGGGAAAACAAAAAACAAUAAAGCACCAGGGAUCGACCUAACCAAUGGUAAAAUUUUAAAGAACCUUCCUCCAAAAGCGAUACGACUAAUCACAAUAAUUUAUAACGCAAUAUUAAGAAUCCAAUACUAUCCUAAACUAUAGAAACUAGCACAGAUCAUAAUGUUACCUAAACCAGGCAAAGACCCACACCAAACAACAUCUUAUAGACCAAUAUCACUACUUCCCGUGUUUUCCAAAGUACUAGAAAAAAUAAUUUACGCCCGCUUAAAACCAAUAAUAGAGAAGGAAAAAUUAAUACCUGAUCACCAAUUUGGAUUCAGAAACAAACACUCCACGAUAGAGCAAAUGCACAGACUUACAAAUGAAAUAAUUCUAGCAUUAGAAAACAAACAAUACUGCACAGCCCUCUUUAUGGACAUCGAGAAAGCAUUUGACAAAAUAAACCACGAAAGUCUACUUCAAUCAAUCAGAAAACAAUUCCCGGAGCAGAUAUACUAUUUAAUUAAAUCUUACUUAAGCAGCAGAACCUUCGUAGUAAAAAUUAAAGACACAUACUCUGAAGUUAAAGACAUCAAUGCAGGGGUUCCGCAAGGUAGCGUCUUAGGACCAAUUCUAUACACACUUUACACGGCCACAUACCAACAACUUCUAAUAGCAAGAUACUGACAUUCGCGGACGACACAGCGGUGCUAGUCAGGCACACUGACCCUGCAACAGCAGUCACAUCACUACAAGAACAUAUCACAAAAAUAGAAAAGUGGCUUCAAGUUAAACAAAUUAAAGCAAACCCCGAUAAAUGCAACCACAUUACAUUUACACUGCGAAAACAGGUACCUCCAAACAUUACACUGAACGGCACACACAUAAUACAAACAAGGCAAGUCAAAUUCCUAGGACUCCACUUAGAUACACGAUUCACAUGGAAACAGCGUAUUGAAUCUAUAAUAGACAAAAUACAAUUAGCAAGGAGACAAAUGUGUUGGUUAACAGGUCGAAAAUCCAAACUAAGCAUAGAAAACAAACAACAACAGUAAACGCCCCAUGGUACGUUAGAAACGAGGACAUACGGAAAGACCUUGGAAUACCAACGAUCAAGGAAGAGAUUAGCAGAUUCGCAAGAAGGUACAGAGAAAGAAUAGCAACGCACCCGAACCGGCUGGCAGCGGAAACGAUCAACACAACCAUAGAAAGGAGACUAAAAAGGAAACACCCAGCAGACCUCACAAUGGAUAUAUCUUAACAAACACGAAGAUGGUACCCCAUUGGGGGUAGCCACCCACAUGAUAAUCAAACAGAUAAAAAAUUCUACCAAAUGUCCAAAUUGGACAAAUUAUGAAUGUGAAAUUUUAAAUAAAAAAAAAAAAAAAUUAUAUGUACUUUCUGUAGGAUUUAAGGAAAUUUCAAGAGUUCUCGUUGCCAGAAAUUUAAGGUGAAUGGAUUUUGUAAUAUUCAGGCAAACUGACUCCCGAGUAAGAUAAAACUUCAUAAAUUCUUGCCUAUGUACCAAUUGCUUUGGUAAGUUUGUUUCUUUAUUCUCUUUUAAUUAUGGAAUGCAUUAUACCAUUUAAAGAAGGUCAUAAACUGCAUGUGUGCGUUAUCUUUUCUAUUCGUUAUUUAAAAUUGCAAAUGAAAAGAAUACGUUUCCUUUUUGUUUUGUUAUAUACACACUUGUAUCAAUGGGAUCAUAAUUCUUGGGAUCGUAAGAUACCAAUAUUCUGUCUUGAGUGAACCCAAAAAGAAAACAGUUUACCUCACGACGUUUAUGAGGUUGAAAUUCCAAAGGUACGUCUCUUUUAUCUUUUCUUGUGGUUCUUACAGCUGAGACCUUUGGAUUUUAACUCGUAAACAAGUUCGCUUAAUGUGCAAUUUAUAAAUAUUUACAUAGAACUGUCCGGUUAAUAAGGUUGUUUUCUUCCUGAAAGUACAAACUGGCACGGUCGAAUUACGAUUAAAUUCUUAGCUCGCGUGCUAACGUCGAAAUAUCUGCACACGCGAGGUUAUUGAAUAAUUUCUAUCGAAUUCAUUUUCUUUGAAGAUUCUUCACCGGUACAACAUUUUGGGACCGACAUUUAUAUUUGAUAAAAUAUUACCGAUGUUACCGUAUAGCAUGGCUAAGCGCAAAGCAAAGAUAACUUUUAUAUUAUCAUUGUCUGAAUUGUAUGUAUUGCGAGAAAGAUUAUUUAUUUCCAUUAUUACCUCUUUCCCUAACCAAUGUCUCAUUUUCUUUCAUAAAUACAAAUUUAAUAGAUCGGCAAUAAAAUGUUGACGAGGGUUCAGGUUUUGACCAUAGCACUUAAUUAUAUUCAUCUAAAAAGCAAAUACAAAUAAAAGCAAUUACAAACAAAAGUUCUGUUUCAGAUGAACUUUGUUUAAAGUGACUUGGAAUCCAGCUUUAACUGGUUCAAAACAUGCAUGGAUUAUACUCUUCGCUAUUCUUAGGACAUUUACAAAUUAUUAUGUCUGUCCUUCUCAAGUUAGAAAUUCCACUUUUUGUGAAAACGCUAUUGUAAUUACUCGAAAACAGUUUAUUUAACAUUAUUUGGCAUCCUUUAGCCUUGUGCCUAUUCGUUUCUAUACAUGACCAACAUAUUCUUUCUUUUAAACAACAAUAUCUUCAUAUGGAUUAAUAUCUUUAUGCGUUUCGCUAUCUCCAUCUCCAAUACAUGUACUAUAAUUGGCAUGAUGUUUUUUUCCUGAUCUCAUAAAUAUUUCUGUGAUGACAUCAAUUUCCACUUUAUUAGCACUGAUAUGGUUUAUAGUGCAAUUAUCUUUGUUGCCUUCAUACUAAUCAUUGUACUGUUCUGCGCCCGUUUUAUUUUCCCAUGCAACGUUGUAAGAUUGAUUUUACAAUUAUAUCAAGAUACUAGAUUUUACAAUUAUAUCAAGCACUUUCUUACUGUGUUUCCCGAGGAGUGUAGCAAGCCCGCACGAAGAAUUCAAUUCUCUCAUUUUCCUGGCGUUCUCUCUUCCGAAACGCUAACUUUUCUUCUGUCUUUUUCGGUAGCUCUCGAAAUUGGACGAUUAUAUACCCGUAAGACAACAGAAUGUAAAUUUUCCGGACAGCCAUAGUAUCUAUUGAUAGCCAAUCCCUGAAAAAUAUCCAUUAGGCCAUAAAAUAAAUUUAUCUUUCCCAUUCCGCUCUCUAAAAGUCGCCAACACAAUCCUGCGAUUUAUUUCAGAUGACUUGGUAUGGAUUGGCAUUGCUAAUUAGUGGAGAUGAAUUGAAAAAUUUCAUCCAAUACUCACACUUAAUUGCAAUUUUGGAACCUAAGCCGCGGUUUCUGGUUCUAGAAGAUUGAAUUUUUCUUUUGCAAUUCUUGCAAAUAACACUAGUUGCUAUCAUCGAAAAUGCAGCAACAAAGUUCAAGAUAUAUUAACUAAGAUCACUUGCGAACACUUCAUUGUUAUCUCUAUUUUACAAUUUUUUAGUUGAUACGCUUGUUAUUCGGUUCAGCAACGUGUAUCAUUCGAGGUACAGUUGAUGUACACGUAGAACGCCAUAUUAGACCUGAUGCAAUUUUCGUGAACCCAUCUGCUGCUAUAUACGCACUGCAGCUAGUUCUCAUCACGAACGCUAUCACUAUAAGGUUCAUUUCAUAUCAAGCAUUCUGUGCGAAGCAACAGUAAUGUGUAAUGUUGCCAAUAUUGAAUCGCUUCUUUAAUAGGAAGGCAUUCGAGAUAGAUUGCUUUCAUCUUUGAUUCUGUUUGGUUUCAGUUUUCUUGAGAAGUGCGCAACCGGGUGUAACAUACUGUUAUCUUGGGGUUGUUUUAAAACGGCUCCUAAACCAUCACCACUUGAAUCUGUAUAAAUGAAUAUUUCUUUGUUUUGCUCAUAUGUUGCUAGGACCGGACUUGAACAGAGAUAUUUCUUGAUCUUCUGAAAUGAUUUCUCAUAUUCUUCAUUGCAGAUGAAUUCGACAUUUUUCAUUAAUAAGUUAUGAAGUGGUUCUAGGAGUUUGUAGGCAUCUUCUAUAAAUUUAUAAUAAAAAUUAAUUUUCCCCAGUAAUUGUCUUAUAUUCUUUUUUGUUCUUUGGGCGUUCCAAUUCCAUUGUUUCUACAAUGAUUAAUAUAAAGAGAAUGUCCCGCGAAAGCGUACGUGAACACAUGCUCAGUGAAGUGCACUGACACCGAUUCUCUAAACUGAUAGAUUCGAACGGACUUGAAGUGACUUGACGACUAGCCAGAUAGAAAGGAGCGCGAUAUCAUCGUUCGACGCUCUCUUAGAGUAGGCCGAGAGACGACCAUGCAAUUUCAAAAACUCGUCGUUCUGUCGAUCACCCAAUGCAAUCACGUCCUGGUGACUUCAGCAGUGAGUGUUGGAGAAAGACGCCUUAUCAGUGCAUCGGUUGGCAAAACAAUUAAAAGACGCUUUACGAGAGAUCGAAACAUUCUGUUGAUGGUGUGCAUGAAUAUAUAGGCUCCAAGUCAGACGACAACGAUACGAACUACAAUAAACUAAGUCUAUGAAGGGAAGCUAAACGCUACGAUUAAAUUUUACAGAUAACUCACACUUCAUGGACAUAAUCGGAAUAAGUUGCGAUACGACGUAAGAGAUCAUAUAAUUAAUCUAAUGAGCAGUGCUAGUUAGUUAAACCAUCAGUCCUCAACAUUUAUGCAAAUUUCAUGUACUCAUCUAUGCCAUAUAAUACACUGAAUCCAUCUUUUUCUUAGAUUUCGGUGAUAUAACGAGUUCAUCACAAAAUAUACGAGCCCGAGCGAAGAAUUUUGCAUUUUUCAUUUUUCCACUGCUACAUUUUCCUCAUCUCUGCUAAGUGCGCUCCUGGUUUUGAAAGAUUUCUUUCAUUCGGUCUUUUUUUCCAGCCUGAGUAAUUUCUUGUUCGACCUGGCUUUUGCAUUGUUCCGAGAUGAUUGUUACAGUGUUCCCUGUUUUCUUUGCUUUUCUCUUUACUCUUUCCUUUGCUUGACAGAUAGAUUUGAUUAUUUUGGGGGAAAAUAUAAGUGCUGAAGGCUUUGCAUCCUUAGACGUCACUGAUAGCGUUCCUACGUCCUUAGAUGUGAAUAGUAGCGUUUCUAUGUCUUAUAAUAAUAGGGCUUACUACACAAUAUUGAUCGCAUGUUGGUCUGUUGGAUCCUCUUGUAUUAUUCUUUUAUUUUGUUAUUGCUUAGUCCUUGCCUUUCGGCUUUGAACGUACUUUUGGUUUUACAUCUCUUACAUCUCUUUUCCACUCUAUUCUAUUGCACUACCUUGCUUAUUUUACCUCUAAAAACUAAAACUAGAAACUACAAAUUAGCAACUAAUGACUAAAAAACUAUUGCAACUUUGGUCUUUAGCCUCCUUGCUGUGCAUCCUUCCUGUCGUUUGCCCUUCUCUUCUCUAUUAUUGCCUUUAGUUCUGUUAAACCUUCUCCAGUCUCAUUUAGCGUUUUUCCUAUGUUCUUUGGUCCUCCCGUUAUUUCACAUUCUUCUAUUACAUACCUCAGGUCUUCUUUCCUUCUACAUAGUCUGCAUCUUUUUUCUCCCUCUUCUUUCCGAUAUUCCUUUGCUUUAGUCUCGUUUCCGCAUCUGAAUUUGUCAGUAUUUUUCUGUCCUUUCACUUCAUCCUUCCUUCUAAGUACUUUGGUAAUUUUUCUUUGGCUAUGUUUCUGUAGUGUAUAUUAUACUUGGAUUCCUUUAUCCUUUCCCCCCUCUCUUCUGCUUCUUCCUUUCUUCUUUCUUCUAUAAUUUGGUUUGCUGUCAUCCUUUCUUGCUCCUCUCCUGCUUCUAUCUGCGUCCUUCCUCUUCUCACAUCUUCUAGUCCCUUCUUUCUCUUUCUUGUUCUUUUCCCUUCAUGGCCAUGAGGUAGGAUGUCGUGAUAGGUGCGGAAGGAAUACUCAGAUGUAUUCAACAAUAAAUAUUUAUUAACAGUAAUAUUCGAUGAGUACACUUGUACUAAUCCCCAUUUUCCUCAUUUUCUCCUCCAGUUUCUCUCUGUUUAGUCUGUCGAACGCCGCUCUUAGGUUCGCAAAGCAGGUUGCCACUAGAUGGCCAAUUAUGUUAGUACGAACUAAUUUUUUGCGAAUAUAAUAUACUCAAUGUAACAUGUACGUACACUCAAGAAAUAGAAUUCAAUUAGAGACCAGCUAAGGAUGGGGACAAAGAUGAGGAUUGUGCGAAUUUUUAUGGCGACGUCAACUCAUUGGACGAUAUAAUGGACAUAAGCCCAUUUGGCGCCAAAGAGAAAUGUAAAAUACUCUGAAGAUGCUUUGCUUUGCAUAGUCAUAUGGUAUGAAUCAUUGGAUUCCGUAAUUUCAAACUUGGAUUUGUGGAUUCUACACAUUGAAAACUACAAGAUUGCAGAUAAAAAAGACAAUGAUUUUUAGUUCCCUACAGUAAAGUUCAACCCCAUUUUUUAAUACAAUUGCCAGUUUUAAUGCAUAACUGACAGAACAAGAACACUACUUUGGAGUAUGUUGCUAUAAACAAUAUAUUAAACUUUAAUAUUAUAUCCCAAAUAAAAUGUUUAACUCAGUAAUGAAAAAUAUAUAAAAUAGCACAAUAUUGAUCGAAGGGCUGCUCUGAAAAGAUAUAGGUUUGCUUUAUCUCUAAGAGUCCAGGAUUGCACGUUAUUAUUUUGUGAUAGACACUCUUGAGUUUGCAAUCCUUCAAUCAUCCGCCUAUAAAAACUGUACAAUAACGAUUAUUCUAUUUCCUAAAAUAAUAUCAAUUACUCAUUCACUUAUUAUUUUUAUAGUACAUUACGCAUGCUAUUUUUAUAAUUAAUUUGUUAUUACUUCACGCAACCGUUUGCGCCCACCUUGCAGCGGUCGGUGAGAACUCUAACCCACACUUAAAUAAUAAUACC